rnacentral:rRNA from 1 species
GACGAACGCUGGCGGCGUGCCUAAUACAUGCAAGUUGAGCGCUGAAGGUUGGUACUUGUACCAACUGGAUGAGCAGCGAACGGGUGAGUAACGCGUGGGGAAUCUGCCUUUGAGCGGGGGACAACAUUUGGAAACGAAUGCUAAUACCGCAUAAAAACUUUAAACACAAGUUUUAAGUUUGAAAGAUGCAAUUGCAUCACUCAAAGAUGAUCCCGCGUUGUAUUAGCUAGUUGGUGAGGUAAAGGCUCACCAAGGCGAUGAUACAUAGCCGACCUGAGAGGGUGAUCGGCCACAUUGGGACUGAGACACGGCCCAAACUCCUACGGGAGGCAGCAGUAGGGAAUCUUCGGCAAUGGACGAAAGUCUGACCGAGCAACGCCGCGUGAGUGAAGAAGGUUUUCGGAUCGUAAAACUCUGUUGGUAGAGAAGAACGUUGGUGAGAGUGGAAAGCUCGUCAAGUGACGGUAACUACCCAGAAAGGGACGGCUAACUACGUG